rnacentral:rRNA from 1 species
AAUGAACGUUGGCGGCAUGGAUUAGGCAUGCAAGUCGAGCGAGAAGUGUAGCAAUACACGGAAAGCGGCGGAAGGGAGAGUAAUACGUGGGAAUCUGCCCUUAGACCUGGGAUAGCAGCGGGAAACUGCUGGUAAUACCAGAUAAUGUCUAUGGACCAAAGGUGUGAUUCCGUCUAGGGAUGAGCCCACGUCCUAUUAGCUAGUUGGUAGGGUAAUGGCCUACCAAGGCGAUGAUGGGUAGCGGUUGUGAGAGCAUGACCCGCCUCACUGGGAGUGAGACACUGCCCAGACACCGACGGGUGGCUGCAGUCGAGAAUCUUCGGCAAUGGGCGCAAGCCUGACCGAGCGAUGCCGCGUGCGGGAUGAAGGCCUUCGGGUUGUAAACCGCUGUCGAUGGGGAGCAACUUCCAUAGAGUUAUCUUUAUGGAUUGAGUGAUCCCUGGAGGAAGGACGGGCUAAGUUCGUGCCAGCCGCCGCAGUAACAC